CUCCCUUAGGAGUUGAUCAUGGCUCGAACGAACGCUGGCGGCGCGCUUAACACAUGCAAGUCGAACGAGAAGGCGUAGCAAUACGCUUGUAAAGUGGCGAACGGGUGAGGAAUACAUGGGUAACCUACCCUCGAGUGGGGGAUAACCCGCCGAAAGGCGGGCUAAUACCGCGUACGCUUCCGAUCUCGCGGGAUCGGAAGGAAAGCUGUCCCAAGGGGAUGGCGCUCAAGGAUGGGCUCAUGUCCUAUCAGCUUGUUGGUAGGGUAAUGGCCUACCAAGGCAUCGACGGGUAGCUGGUCUGAGAGGACGGUCAGCCACACUGGCACUGCGACACGGGCCAGACUCCUACGGGAGGCAGCAGUGAGGAAUAUUGCGCAAUGGGCGAAAGCCUGACGCAGCGACGCCGCGUGGGGGAUGAAGGUCUUCGGAUUGUAAACCCCUUUCGGGAGGGAAGACGGCCUUAGACAACUAAGGCGGACGGUACCUCCAGAAGCAGCCACGGCUAACUUCGUGCCAGCAGCCGCGGUAAUACGAAGGUGGCAAGCGUUGUUCGGAUUUACUGGGCGUAAAGGGAGCGUAGGUGGUUAGGUAAGCCCUCCGGGAAAUCUUCAGGCUCAACCUGAAAAGGUCGGGGGGGACUGCCUAGCUAGAGGGCGGGAGAGGAGCGCGGAAUUCCCGGUGUAGCGGUGAAAUGCGUAGAGAUCGGGAAGAAGGCCGGUGGCGAAGGCGGCGCU
rnacentral:rRNA from 1 species